GAGAGGAUAAAAGUCAGCAGGUUGAAUUUUUUCCAAACUUCAGCUUGCAGCCUACAGCAUCUUGGAUCCUCAGCUACUUCAGCAGAAACUCAAGAGUAAUUCAGUGUGAACAGCAAUGGUGGUGGAGAGGAGCUGCACUUUCCUCACCUUUAAUUGUAAAGUAAUUCAGAAAAAGAAAGAAAUUCUACUAGUCAUUAUGGCAAUUGUAAAAGCAGAAAGAAGAACAUUCCAGAGAAGGAAAACGUUCUAACUCAGAGAAGGGAGCAUUUCAGCUCAUUCUUGAUGGAUAUGUGAAAGUAAGUCAAAUACACUUGAAUGUUUGGGGGAAAAAAAUAAAAUAAGAGGUUGGGAUGCUAUCUUCCUCUUGCCUCAGUCAAAAUAGGCCAAAUUCAAAGCUUAAAAGGGCAGCAGAAGAUUAGAAAAUGCCUAAGGAGGAGAACUCAGAGAAAGAGAACCCUGAAAGACAAACUUCACUCACAUUAUAAUCUCCUAGGAGGCCAUUCAGUAUAGCCAGAAAAGCACUCUUCAUUUUCAUAUUUCAGAGAGUUUUUUGUUUGUCAAGAUUUAAAAAAAAAAUUCUUUUCUACAUUUAAUUGCAGUAACAGUUUUUGGUGCUUAUCGAUGUUAAUGGUAAAUACAAGCAUAAAUAGA
ensembl:lncRNA